GCGUGUUAUUCUCUCUCCGACCCCUAAACCCAAAUCUUCUCUCAUCUCUCUUCUAUCUCAGACUGCAAGCCUCUCUCUCAAAUCACUCUGAAAAAUUCCAAACCCAAAUUCAGAAAGCUCUCAACACUCUACACCAGCUUACCUUUCAAAUUUUCUCUCACCUCAAAUGUUUCAAUUUAAACCUUCAAAAAUUUCUAUUCUUCCUCCAAUUUCAAUUCCAAAAUCCCAAUUUUAGUUCCAAAAUGCUUCAUCUUCAAGUAUCUGAUUCCCUCUCAUUUUAUCUCUCUUAUUCCCAUUUGAAGUUACAGUUCUUCAUCUCAUUCGAAGUCACAAAUCUCCAUCUGGUUGCACUGAGCCAUGGUCGAUGGUGGAUGAUUUUUCAGAAGGUUCAGUUGGGUUUGAAAUUGGUGGUUCAAUUUGGGUAUGUUCAAGAUUUUAUUCUAAAAUUCGUUUGAUUGAAGACCAAGAUUUUAUCAAGGUAUCAUCUCCCUCUUAUCCUUUUUGUUUUAAUUUUGUUCAUGCUAUUGUGAUUUUGUUUUGCUAUUUUAAUUUCUGUAUUUUUUUAUGGUGUUGGAUUUGGCUGCUGAGUUCUGUACGCUACAGAGGUGCAGCCAGCUGCAGUAAGGGAGGCCUGCAAGACAGGCUUGAGAUGAAGUAUAAACUCAGAUGAAAGUGAGAUUCUUGUUUUCGAUUUCUUGUCCCAUGAGUAGAGUUGCAGACGGUGAUGGCUUCUUUAUUCAAGGAUCAAUCGAAGCUUUCACAAUAUCGGGAUAGAAGAUUUACUGGAUCACAGGAGGAAUUUGAACAAGCACUCCUGGCAUCAACGACUGUUUAUAUUGGGAAUAUGUCAUUCUACACAACAGAAGAGCAAGUUGCUGGAGAGAUAAAGAAGAUAAUUAUGGGCUUGAAUAAUUUUGUUUUGUCCUGUAAGCUUCAUUCUUCGUAUUUUUAACUUCUUGAAAGGGAAACGGUUUAGUGGGAUUGGAUAAAGACAAUUUUAAUGUACUAGAAUCAUUUUGAAUAAUAGAAAUAUAAUUUAGAGUA